CGGUACAGAGUCAAUGUGGAGGCUAUAUACAAGGGAUACUGGUACAGAGUCAAUGUGGAGACUAUAUACAGGGGGUACCGGUACAGAGUCAAUGUGGAGGCUAUAUACAGGGUAUUACGGUACAGAGUCAAUGUGGAGGCUAUAUACAGGGGGGUACCGGUACAGAGUCAAUGUGGAGGCUAUAUACAGGGGGGUACCGGUACAGAGUCAAUGUGAAGGCUAUAUACAGGGGUUACCGGUACAGAGUCAAUGUGGAGGCUAUAUACAGGGGGUACCGGUACAGAGUCAAUGUGGAGGCUAUAUACAGGGGUACCGGUACAGAGUCAAUGUGGAGGCUAUAUACAGGGGUACCGGUACAGAGUCAAUGUGGAGGCUAUAUACAGGGGGUACUGGUACUGAGUCAAUGUGGUGGCUAUAUACAGGGGUACCAGUACAGAGUCAAUGUGGAGGCUAUAUACAGGGGGUACCGGUACAGAGUUAAUGUAGAGGCUAUAUACAGGGGUACCGGUACAG
rnacentral:lncRNA from 1 species